CCCUUCUUCAGACUUUAAGGGUCUCGACCCGAAACGUCACCCAUUCCUUCUCUCCAGAGAUGCUGCCUGUCCCGCCGGGAUACUCCAGCGUCUUGUGUCUGUCCUGGCUCU